AUUGAACGCUGGCGGCAUGCUUUACACAUGCAAGUCGAACGGUAACAGGCCGCAAGGUGCUGACGAGUGGCGAACGGGGGAGUAAUGCAUCGGAACGUGCCCAGUCGUGGGGGAUAACGCAGCGAAAGCUGCGCGAAUACCGCAUACGAUCUAAGGAUGAAAGCGGGGGACCGUACGGCCUCGCGGGAUUGAAGAGGCCGAGGUCAGAUUAGGUAAGUGGUGGGGUAAAGGCCUCCCAAGCCAACGAUCUGUAGCUGGGCUGAGAGGACGACCAGCACCACUGGGACUGAGACACCGCCAAGACUCCUACGGGAGGCAGCAGUGGGGAAUUUUGGACAAUGGGCGCAAGCCUGAUCCAGCAAUGCCGCGUGCAGGAAGAAGGCCUUCGGGUUGUAAACUGCUUUUGUACGGAACGAAAAGGCUCUGGUUAAUACCUGGGGCUCAUGACGGUACCGUAAGAAUAAGCACCGGCUAACUACGUGCCAGCCGCCGCAGUAAAAC
rnacentral:rRNA from 1 species